rnacentral:rRNA from 1 species
GAUGAACGCUAGCGGCAGGCCUAACACAUGCAAGUCGAGGGGUAACCUGAUGAAUAGCAAUAUUCAUUAGGCUAGACCGGCGCACGGGUGCGUAACACGUAUGCAACCUACCUUAUACUGGAAGAUAACGUCGAGAAAUCGGCGCUAAUACUCCAUAACACAGCGAAAAGGCAUCUUUUUGUUGUUAAAGCUCCGGCGGUAUAAGAUGGGCAUGCGUCCAAUUAGCUAGUUGGUGAGGUAACGGCUCACCAAGGCUACGAUUGGUAGGGGUUCUGAGAGGAUGAUCCCCCACACUGGUACUGAGACACGGACCAGACUCCUACGGGAGGCAGCAGUGAGGAAUAUUGCGCAAUGGACGAAAGUCUGACGCAGCCAUGCCGCGUGAAGGAUGAAGGCCCUAUGGGUUGUAAACUUCUUUUAUACGGGAAUAAACCUUAGGACGCGUCCUAAGCUGAAGGUACCGUAAGAAUAAGCACCGGCUAACUCCGUG